UGCUGCUGAUUGUCCAAGAGAGCUGCCUUUUGUGUGGCCCCAACCCUCUCUGCCAAUCAGCAGUGAAGGGCGAGUCUGCAUGAAAGGCAGCUCUCUCCACCAAACAGCAGCAAGAGG